GCGCCCGUAGCUCAGUUGGAUAGAGCACCUGGCUACGAACCAGGGGGUCGCGGGUUCGAAUCCUACCGGGCGCA
rnacentral:tRNA from 1 species